UUGAGUAUGAGGAUAAGUUAUCCACAAGAAGAAAAAAUUAUAAGUGUUUUAUUUAGUUUUUAAAUAUAAAAAUCAAUAAUAAAUGUAUUUAUAUAAAUAUUUUUAGUCAAACACUAUAAAUUUUGUGAAAAGUCGUGAAGGUAAAGAACUAGACCCGAGCCCAAUCAUUCAAUACAAUACAUCGAGGCCCACAGAGCAAGGCGGGCCGGCCGCACGACCGACGACCCGUAUAUCUAGCGACCCGAUUAGCUUUGAUGAUGUCUCAGACUAAAGGAAGGAUUCCGAUCCAGCUGCAUGCACGGCCCUGUGCUAGAUGGAUCGAUUAUAGUGGAUUGACUGGAGCGGUCUACGCCCUCGUGGUUUCGCCGCCCCGUCUGGAUGAUCUAGUAAUGAUCAAGCAUUAAAUAGAACCCUAGUGGGUAUGCAAACCCCUGGCAUGUCGACUUGCUAUAAAUAGGAACCUAGGGUGUCCUAGUAAAGGGUCGAUCUUCGGAGAGAGAAAUCAAUAAGAGUGUAAUUCGUUACCCGUCAUCACCCUUACCAAUCCCUUAUGAGGUAUGGAUUGACAUAACUAUGGACUUUAAUAUUACAAAUCUCCCUUAAGUCUAGAACAAGAAUGUCAUAUUGGUGGUGGUUGACAUAUUUACAAAAAAUUCUCAUUUUGGAACUCUACCUCCAAAUUUUAAUGCACUGAUGGCGACACAGAUUUACACUACAAGAAAACAGACUUUUAACGACGGGGAAUGACCAUCCCGGAAAGUCGCCUCGUUGAAUAUUUAGAGACAGGCAUGAUUUCUGUCGCUAAAAGUCUGUUUUCUUGUAGUGUUACCAUACGUACUGAGGUAGUCCUUGGGUCAAGGCCGACCCACCCUUUUCUCACCCU
rnacentral:lncRNA from 1 species